rfam:Triticum aestivum genome assembly, contig: Triticum_aestivum_CS42_TGACv1_scaffold_457005_5DS
CAUGUACUCUCUCCAUCCGGAAAUACUUGUCAUCAAAAUAAAUAAAGGGAUGUAUCUAGACGUAUUUUAGUUUUAAAUAUUAUUUUAUCCAUUUUAAUGACAAGUAUUUUUGGACGGAGGGAGUAGGUC